ACAUCCAUGGUGUUAAUUUCGAUUUACCUUACGUAAUUUCAAAUGCACCUCAUUACUCAGGUGUCGAGCAUGUUGAAGGAAAUAUGUUUGAAGGUGUACCAGCGCAGAGAACAUUUUUAUGAAGUGUGUGCUUCACGACUGGGACGAUCAUCUGUGCAUACAGCUGCUAAAGAACUGCUGGAAUGCUUUGCCUGACGGUGGGAAGGUGAUCAACGUCGACCUCGUGAUCCCUUCAGUAUUCGGCACGGAUGCGAUUUCACGCCGUUCGGCUAGUGAAGAUCUAUACAUGUUAGCUUACACUCCCAGCGGCAAAGAACGGACAUUGGCGGAGUUUGAUAAAAUAGCAAAAGCAGCCGGAUUUGC